rnacentral:rRNA from 1 species
CCUACGGGAGGCAGCAGUGGGGAAUAUUGCACAAUGGGGGAAACCCUGAUGCAGCGACGCCGCGUGAGUGAAGAAGUAAUUCGUUAUGUAAAGCUCUAUCAGCAGGGAAGAAAAUGACGGUACCUGAGUAAGAAGCCCCGGCUAACUACGUGCCAGCAGCCGCGGUAAUACGUAGGGGGCAAGCGUUAUCCGGAUUUACUGGGUGUAAAGGGAGCGUAGACGGCAGUGCAAGUCUGGAGUGAAAGGCGGGGGCUCAACCCCCGGACUGCUCUGGAAACUGUACGGCUGGAGUGCAGGAGAGGUAAGUGGAAUGCCUAGUGUAGCGGUGAAAUGCGGAGAUAUUAGGAGGAACACCAGUGGCGAAGGCGGCUUACUGGACUGUAACUGACGUUGAGGCUCGAAAGCGGGGGGAGCAAACAGGAUUAGAUACCCCAGUAGUC